rnacentral:piRNA from 1 species
UCCCUCCCAAGCAGCUCUCAUCUGGUGUU